GGUCAGGGAGGAACGCUGACGGCGUGCCUAAUACAUGCAAGUCGAGCGAACAGAUGAGAAGCUUGCUUCUCUGAUGUUAGCGGCGGACGGGUGAGUAACACGUGGGUAACCUACCUAUAAGACUGGGAUAACUCCGGGAAACCGGGGCUAAUACCGGAUAAUAUAUUGAACCGCAUGGUUCAAUGUUGAAAGACGGUUUCGGCUGUCACUUAUAGAUGGACCCGCGCCGUAUUAGCUAGUUGGUAAGGUAACGGCUUACCAAGGCAACGAUACGUAGCCGACCUGAGAGGGUGAUCGGCCACACUGGAACUGAGACACGGUCCAGACUCCUACGGGAGGCAGCAGUAGGGAAUCUUCCGCAAUGGGCGAAAGCCUGACGGAGCAACGCCGCGUGAGUGAUGAAGGUCUUAGGAUCGUAAAACUCUGUUGUUAGGGAAGAACAAAUUUGUUAGUAACUGAACAAGUCUUGACGGUACCUAACCAGAAAGCCACGGCUAACUACGUGCCAGCAGCCGCGGUAAUACGUAGGUGGCAAGCGUUAUCCGGAAUUAUUGGGCGUAAAGCGCGCGUAGGCGGUUUCUUAAGUCUGAUGUGAAAGCCCACGGCUCAACCGUGGAGGGUCAUUGGAAACUGGGGAACUUGAGUGCAGAAGAGGAGAGUGGAAUUCCAUGUGUAGCGGUGAAAUGCGCAGAGAUAUGGAGGAACACCAGUGGCGAAGGCGGCUCUCUGGUCUGUAACUGACGCUGAUGUGCGAAAGCGUGGGGAUCAAACAGGAUUAGAUACCCUGGUAGUCCACGCCGUAAACGAUGAGUGCUAAGUGUUAGGGGGUUUCCGCCCCUUAGUGCUGCAGCUAACGCAUUAAGCACUCCGCCUGGGGAGUACGACCGCAAGGUUGAAACUCAAAGGAGAUUGACGGGGACCCCGCGCGAGCGGGGGAGCAUGUGGUUUAAUUCGAAGCAACGGGAAAGAUCCGUACCAAGUCUUGACAUCCUUUGACCGUUCUAGAGAUAGAGUUUUCCCCUUCGGGGGCCAAAGUGACAGGUGGUGCAUGGUUGUCGUCAGCUCGUGUCGUGAGAUGUUGGGUUAAGUCCCGCAACGAGCGCAACCAAUAAGCUUAGUUGCCAUCAUUAAGUUGGGCACUCUAGGUUGACUGCCGGUGACAAACCGGAGGAAGGUGGGGAUGACGUCAAAUCAUCAUGCCCCUUAUGAUUUGGGCUACACACGUGCUACAAUGGAUAAUACAAAGGGCAGCGAACCCGCGAGGUCAAGCAAAUCCCAUAAAAUUAUUCUCAGUUCGGAUUGUAGUCUGCAACUCGCCUUCAUGCAGCUG
rnacentral:rRNA from 1 species